rnacentral:rRNA from 1 species
AUGGUCGAAGGCUCGGAGACGGAUAUCUCCAACCUCAAGUUCCUCCUUCUCUGCUUCCAACAGAUGUCGGGCCUCAAGAUCAACUUCGCCAAGAGUGAUGUGAUGGUGAUGGGAUACUCCCCCACGGAGGCUUUGGCCAUCGCCAACAGGCUUAAUUGCCGCAUGGGUUCCUUCCACACAACAUACCUGGGGACGCCCAUUAGUGACUCCCGGCUCACUGUCGCAGACUUGCGCCCCUUCGUGGCGAAGCUCCAAACGCGCAUCAAGCCAUGGUAGGGGAGGUGGCUUUCCAAAGCGGCCUGGACGAUCCUCAUCAACUCUUCCCUCUCCGGCCUUCUCUUGUUGCUCAUGAGUUUCUACAGCCUCCAUGAGACCCUUCACAAGGAGAUCUCCAAGGUCCAGUCCCGCUUUUACUGGGCGGGUGACAAUGACAAGCAGAAGUAUCAUAUGGUCAGUUGGCCUGACAUUUGCAAACCCCGGGAGCAAGGUGGCCUUGGCAUCAUGUGCUCUAAACGGAUGAAUAUCGCCCUACUCUCCCGCUGGCUUUGGCGCAUCUCGCAAGGGCGUGGUGGCCUUUGGCUG